CCUACGGGAGGCAGCAGUGAGGAAUAUUGCACAAUGGGGGGAACCCUGAUGCAGCGACGCCGCGUGAGUGAAGAAGCGCCUCGGCGCGUAAAGCCCUGUUAGCAGGGAAGAAAAUGACGGUACCUGAAGAAGAAGCACCGGCUAACUACGUGCCAGCAGCCGCGGGAAUACGUAGGGGGCAAGCGUUACCCGGAUUUUAUGGGGGUAAAGGGGGCGCAGACGGCGAUGCAAGCCAGGAGUGAAAGCCCGGGGCCUAAGCCCGGGACUGCUGUUGGAACUGCGUGGCUGGAGUGCAGGAGGGGAAGGCGGAAUGCCUGGUGUAGCGGUGAAAUGCGUAGAUAUAAGGAGGAACACCGGUGGCGAAGGCGGCCUGCUGGCCUGCAACUGACGUUGAGGCACGAAAGCGUGGGGAGCAAACAGGAUUAGAUACCCUGGUAGUC
rnacentral:rRNA from 1 species